AUUUAAAUAGCAAAAGUAAGUUUCAAAUUACUUAAAUAUUUCAAAUAUCGGGACAAGAAAUAACGAAUACAGAAAGAGAACGAGUAAUUUAAUUAGUUAAAUACAAGCUAUAUAAUGUUGGUUUUUUUAAAAAAUGUAAAUUAUUUCAUUUAUAUAUAAAAAAAUAUGAUAUUAUCUUAGAGAGAACGAACUGGAACAAAAAGGGAAUGGGUAAUUCAAAAAAAAAAUAUAUCUAAACUAUUUCUCAUCAAAAACAAGCCUAUAUAAAAAAUUUGGAAACUUAAAUUUAAUUUUAACUUUCA
rnacentral:lncRNA from 1 species